rnacentral:rRNA from 1 species
GACGAACGCUGGCGGCGUGCCUAAUACAUGCAAGUAGAACGCAGUUGCGAACGGGUGAGUAACGCGUAGGUAACUGCCUCAUAGCGGGGGAUAACUAUUGGAAACGAUAGCUAAUACCGCAUUCUGUGAGAUGGACCUCCGUUGUAUUAGCUAGUUGGUGAGGUAAAGGCUCACCAAGGCGACGAGACAUAGCCGACCUGAGAGGGGGAUCGGGCACACAGGGACUGAGACACGGCCCAGACUCCUACGGGAGGCAGCAGUAGGGAAUCUUCGGCAAUGGACGGAAGUCUGAACGAGCAACGCAGCGUGAGUGAAGAAGGUUUUCGGAUCGUAAAGCUCUGUUGUUAGAGAAGAGGGAACUAAAAAGAAAGGGACGGCUAACUACGUGCCAGCAGCCGCGGUAAAAG